UAUCACAGUGAUUUUCCUUUAUA
ensembl:ncRNA